rnacentral:lncRNA from 1 species
AAGAUUUAAAACUCAAGAGUAAAAUAACUUUCUACCUCUUGUUCUUCGCGAUUUUGGUUCGAUUUCAGCUUCUUCUUCUAGUUACGGAUCCGGUUCCGUUUCUUCUUCACAAAACCGACUCGGAUUUGUGCUUCCUCUUGAUUCUGUUCGUUUUGAACUCGUUUGGAUGUAGAAAGUGGCGAGAUGAUAAUAGAUGAGUUGUUUGUUGGUAAAAUCGCAGGUGAUGUUAUGGUUUACAUGAUUUUUGUGAUUUUGUGUUCAUGAAUGUUUAUGAGGAUUCAUGAAGUGUUCAUCAUUUUUGUGGUCUUUGAUCUGGUAAAGAGGAGAGAGAGAAGGAAAUUGUGUUUGUAGUCAUUGAUUUUUCUCUGACGCGUUCUGACUCUGAUUGGUCACGUUUUUCUCUCUGAACAGUGCAGUAAAUGCAUCCCCUAUUUAUAUCUGACACAUGUAGGGUUCUGGAUCAAAUGGACUACUAAGUUUCUGACACGUGGACAUGGACCAAAUGACUUUCAAGAGGACUAACUUGGACUUUGUAGAGACUUAAUAAAAAAUAAAAUGAAAUAGAAAACUUGAAUUUUGAAAAAAACGUGACUUAAUCAAAAAACGAAAAAAAGAAAAGGAAAAAACAAAAGAAUAUAAAACAAUAAAGAAAUUAGAUAAGUGGAAAUAAAAAUAAUAAAGAUAAAGUGAAUGAAUUAACAAAAAGUAAAAAUUGU